rnacentral:rRNA from 1 species
GACGAACGCUGGCGGCGUGCUUAACACAUGCAAGUCGCACGGGGCUGGGGGCAACUCCAGCUCAGUGGCGGACGGGUGCGUAACACGUAAGCAACAUGUCCAAGGGUGGGGGAUAGCCGGCCCAACGGCCGGGUAAUACCGCAUGCAGUCACCGGCGGCAUCACAGGUGACGAAAGCCGGGGCAACCUGGCGCCCAUGGAGUGGCUUGCGGCCUAUCAGCUAGUGGUGGGGUAAUGGUCCACCAAGGCUACGACGGGUAGCUGGUCUGAGAGGAUGACCAGCCACAUUGGGACUGAGACACGGCCCAGACUCCGUACGGGGAGGCAGCAGGUGGGGAAUUAUUGCGCAAGUGGGCGAAUGCCUGACGCAGCGACGCCGCGUGUGGGAU